UUGAAUUUAAAUAAAAUAAACAUGUAUAUGCAACACAAAAUAUUUAUAUUCCUUGUGUAAACAUAAUUUAAUUGAUUAUGAUGAAAAUGUUUUGUUUGAAUGUAAAAUGAACACAUUAUUCUCACAUUGAUUAAAAUUGAUUGAAUUGAAUACUUAAAGCAAUAAAAUUGAGUUUGCACACAAAAUGGCACCUCCUGAGCAGAAGGUGGCAGUAACGCUCAAUAAAAAGGACGUCAAUCGCCAUAAAGGAAGAAUAAACAUCGUUUGUUUUGGGCGCCAAAAUGAAGACUCAGCAGCAGUCAGUCAGAAGAACUCUCUCAGACGGACACCACGUUAUUAAAGUAAGUUCUAUUAUUUAUUUAUGUUCACUUUAUACGUGAUACAUCUUCACUAGAUAGACAGUUUUUUUACAAUAUGUAGCCAUUGCAAUGACUUGUUGUAAAAAUGAGUUUGGAGGAUGUUGGUGGAGUAAGUUAACGUUACAGUCAGUCAGUCAGUAAGUGUAAGGCUCAUAAAGAAAAACAGCGUUUUAAAAAUGUCAGCUGUAUAACGUUAUUUCACGUUUGGUAGUUUUAUCCGAGUUGAAAACUGUCAAAUUUCAGUUGACUUUUGAGGCACUUUUUACUCAGUUGUUCUAUGGAAACGGUUCAGGACAAAUAAAACGCUAACCAAACGUUAUUCUGUCCAGAGUAACGUUAUCCAUGUAAGUAAUUUACCAGAUGAUAUCAAUUGACUACAUUAAUAAUGACAUUGUAUGAAACAAACUGUCUGCUUAAUCAGAGGAACAGAACCGCGUCAGUUAUUUGUGACUUCACUAUGCCACGAGCAACACUUGAUUCAAUUAGAAAAAGCUUUUUUUAAAUGUCUCGCGUGACGUCUGGUAUAUUAACUGAAAAAAAAAAUCGCUUUGAAGUGGCCACACCUUAAAGCUGACGUUUUCAGAAGAGCACCUUGUUUUAAGAUCUCAUUUUGUCCAAAAUUGCGUCCUAUGACAGAUAUAAUACUUAUUUCAUUAUUGCUCUGUGUAUGUGUGACCUUAAUCAUUUGAGGUUAUGUGUUGAUUUCACCUCUGAAUAUUUCCUCUUAUAGGUCCAUCAUCCUUGCAUGCGCUACACACUCAAAAGCAUUGAUAAAUGCUGAAUUUAAAAGAAUCACUACUGUCUUAUGUUCCUGCGUGUCACCUGGACCUCCAAUCCAAAAACCUGACGAAACUCUUCUAUCAGAAAGGAGGACAGCUAGCAAAAAGACUUCAAACAAUGAAUGAUCAAAUGACAGAAGGCAUGGAUGAAGUCAGCAACAGUGUGGUCAUUUGAAGACACCACUGUUGGGAUUUGUGCUC